GGGCGUGUGUUACUGUGGAGUCCGGCCUCCACCAGCCUCCAGAACAGCUUCAGGGCUGCUUGCCAAGUCUGUGGAGCUCUGCUGGGGGGUGGACACCUCCACUGUCAUGGUUUUGGGUUUUUCUCCUGUUCUUUCCUGUUUUAUUUUGCAUUUUCUCCCUCCCUCUUGUUUCUGGUAGUUUUGCUUCCUGUCUUUGAUUGCUUUCGUUGUUGUCACCUGUCUCUCGUUGUCUCCCCUACCCGAGUGUAUUUAGUCGGUGUUCUUCCUUUGUCCUGCGUCAGAUCGUCAUUGUCCCCGUCGGUUCAGCGUGUUACCGGCAGUCCUGUGUUUUUCCUGCGCCUCUGUGUGGAUUAUUUUUUGUGUUGGUCUUUUUGGAUCACUCACCUGGACUUCUCAGCCGCUCUAAGUUGUGUUGCUGUUUAACCUGUGAAGACUCAGCCCUCGUGUGUCAGAUCUCAUCGCUGCUGAGAGGAUGUAAUAUGUGACACGUUCACACUCCCUGUCUGGGAGGCGUCCACGCCGCGUCAUCAUCUCCUGAUCAGGCAAUCACCCGCUCGGACACACUGGAGGAAUAGGAUCUGAUAAAGGGCUGAACACUGCAGACCUGAGCGAGCGAGGGGCGAGCAGCCGAGUGUGACGGAGAAAUGAACUGAAUAGAGAGAGAGG